AUUGAACGCUGGCGGCAGGCCUAACACAUGCAAGUCGAGCGAGCGGCGGACGGGUGAGUAAUGUCUGGGAAACUGCCUGAUGGAGGGGGAUAACUCCUGGAAACGGUAGCUAAUACCGCAUACCAUCAGAUGUGCCCAGAUGGGAUUAGCUAGUAGGUGGGGUAACGGCUCCCCUAGGCGAAGAUCCCUAGCUGGUCUGAGAGGAUGACCAGCCACACGGGAAGGGAGACACGGUCCCAACUCCUCCGGGAGGCAGCAGUGGGGAAUAUUGCACAAUGGGCGCAAGCCUGAUGCAGCCAUGCCGCUUGUGUGAAGAAGGCCUGCGGGUUGUAAAGCACUGUCAGCGGGGAGGCGUUACCCGCAGAAGAAGCACCGGCUAACUCCGUGCCAGCAGCCGCGGUAAUUC
rnacentral:rRNA from 1 species